UUAACUUUAUUUUGCUGGAUCAUGUUUUCUUUCAACUGAUAUCCUAGGGCUGAGUUAUGUGGCACCAUCGUAUUGACUUCCUUGCGGAAAGUAUUAUGACCUACUUCAGCUAAUGAAUGAAGUGCUGCCUUUGUGUCACCUUUCAGCCAAACACCAUAGAAUUGAAUGCCUUUGUUAUGUGGUUGUUGAUGUUUCCAAGGUACCUAUGAUCUAGGGUUUGUUGAUGUAGAAUUGUUUAUCCUGUCAAUCAGUAGAGUAUAAAUAUCAAGUGCAUUGAAGCCUACUUAAACCACACGUAACUUUAUAUUUGCUUGUGUUUGCAGGAUGCUUCAGAACAAAGGAGAAGUGACACUAUAAGUUCCUUCUCAACUGAAAUCAUACUACUGGCUAAAGAGGCCAACAAGAAGACAUGGAAUAGGGCGUAUAUGACUUAUUAGCCCAAAUUGGUCAUGUAUGUGGAGAUGAAGGGCAAGGUGGCAAACAAGAAGAUUUGCAACAACUAUCUAACAUGGUUAGAAUUUAUGAAAGGACAUAGAUUGAUCAAAAGCAACCACGUCCAGGAUUUUGUAGGUCAAAGAAAACACGCCGCUGAGCCAAGAAGAACUUGCUAGGCCAGUUUAAAAUCAAGUCAGACUUUUGGAGUAACAAGAGCAGCAAAAGAAAACAAGACUGUGAUGGUGAAGUAGAGAUUGAAGGUGAGAAUUAAGUAAUUCGUGACGGAGGAAGCUGAAGAGAGAUGCUCCCUAUACUGGAGAGUAUGCUAGUAAGAAGGCUGGUGGGGAUUUGAAGAAGAAGGGCAAGUUUGAGUCUUCUGCUUAUUGGCCACUUGGCUGGAAGAGCCGUGUUACAAAGCACUGGGCGGCAGCUAGGAAAGGUAUGGCUACCGUUGUGGAUGAGAAAGUAGCUGAAAUGGAAGCAUUUUUCUGCUUUCCAUUAUCUAAUGGGGGUUCCAAGUUUAAGAGGCGGCAAAAGAAAAUUGUCAGUAGCAGAAGCAAGACAAGAAGGUAGACAGAGAGGUUUGGACUUAACUAUUUCAGAGUACUACCAAAUGGACGAGACUUU